rnacentral:lncRNA from 1 species
GCAUUUCCUGGAAUUCUGGACCCGGCGUCCUCGCCCGCCGACCCGAAAACUACGGCCCCGCGGCGCCCGACCGGACCCACCUGUGGGCGCGCGCUCCAGCCGCCUCGCUGGGCGCUGCCUUCCCCCCGGCUCCUCCAGCAACUUUCAAGCGUCCCCCUGCAGUCUGGGCGCUGCUGUGCGCCAGGCCCAAGCUAGAAGCGGGGACCCCGGGAGCAUCGCAAGCCUCGAGCGGCGUGCCUUCCACCGGAUAGACGGACGCUCGUCGCAGAAACACACACCAUAAUUGUAUAGUUAAGGAACUUUCGAGGGGGGCCAGCCGUGGCCUGCAGAACCUGCAGGAGUUCAUCAGGGGUGGGUGGGGGUGGAGAGGACAUUCUACGUGAGAGACUCCAGGGAGCUGGGAGUGAAAGGAGGCGAGGAAGGCUGGAGCUCGGAGGGAGGGAGAACACAGACAGUCCCCUCCUGGGCAUUCACCUUUAAGAAACCCGCCCAGGCGCAGCCAGAGACCUGUGCAGAAUGUUCACACCAGCGCUAUUCCGAAUAACAGGAACAUUGGAAACACCCUCAAAUGCCCCUCCACGGGCGAGUGGGCAAAUAAACCGGAAUAUUCACACCAUGAAACGUUAGACAGCAGUGAAACGGAAUGAACUUCAGCCAGACAACAACAGAAACAAUGUCUCAGAAACAAUGUUGAGUGAAAAAAACUAAGUUGCGGAAAACUGCAUACAAUGGUGCAACUUUUAGAAUGUGUAAAAGCAAAACCAAAAGUAUGUAUGUUUAGACACAUGCAUCGGUGGAAAAAAUGUAAAGCAAGGGAAAGAUGAGCAUAGAUACGAGAAGAGUGGUUAUCUCAGGUGAAAGGGAAGGAGCCGGGAGGAGAUGGAGUCUAGGUUUCCUCCUCUUGGACCUGGGCUGGCCUGAGUGACUUGUUGGAGUAAUAGAGCGUGAUGGGAGCAAGCUUCCUGGAUUUCCGAGCCUUGGUCAUAAAGAAGCUUUGUGGUGUCCUUUGGGGCCUCUUGAA